GCCUCGAUAGCUCAGUCGGGAGAGCGUUAGACUGAAUAUCUAAAGGGCCCUGGUUCAAUCCCGGGUCGAGGCA
rfam:Ciona savignyi cont_24933, whole genome shotgun sequence.